CCUACGGGUGGCAGCAGUGAGGAAUAUUGGUCAAUGGUCGGGAGACUGAACCAGCCAAGCCGCGUGAGGGAUGAAGGUACAGAGUAUCGUAAACCUCUUUUGUCAGGGAACAAAUGCGGGGACGCGUCCCAGGAUGAGUGUACCUGUAGAAACAGCAUCGGCUAACUCCGUGCCAGCAGCCGCGGUAAUACGGGGGAUGCGAGCGUUAUCCGGAGUUAUUGGGGUAAAAGGGUGCGCAGGCGGUCUGUUAAGUCAGCGGGCAAAGCCCGGGGCUCAACCCCGGCCCGCCGUUGAAACUGGCAGUCUCGAGUGGGAGAGAAGUAUGCGGAAUGCGCGGUGUAGCGGUGAAAUGCAUAGAUAUCGCGCAGAACUCCGAUGGCGAAGGCAGCAUGCCGGCUCCACACUGACGCUGAGGCACGAAAGCGUGGGUAUCGAACAGGAUUAGAUACCCUAGUAGUC
rnacentral:rRNA from 1 species